UACGUAGGGUGCGAGCGUUAAUCGGAAUACUGGGCGUAAAGCGUGCGCAGGCGGUUCGUUGUGUCGGCGGUGAAAUCCCCGGGCUCAACCUGGGAAUGGCCGUUGAAACUGGCGAACUGGAGUGUGGCAGAGGGGGGGGUGGAAUUCCGCGUGUAGCAGUGAAAUGCGUAGAGAUGCGGAGGAACACCGAUGGCGAAGGCAGUGUCCUGGGGAGUACCUGACGCUCAGGUGCGAAAGCCAGGGGAGCGAACGGG
rnacentral:rRNA from 1 species